rfam:Toxocara canis scaffold489, whole genome shotgun sequence.
GUGGUAGUAGCUCAGUGGUAGCGCUCCCGCUUCGAACGCGGGAAGACUUGGGUUUGAUUCCCGGCUGCUUUC